rnacentral:rRNA from 1 species
CGCCUUGCCAGCCCGCUCAGAACUUAAAGGAAUUGACGGGGGCCCGCACAAGCGGUGGAGCAUGUGGUUAAUUCGAUGAUACGCGAGGAACCUUACCUGGGCUCAAAUGUAUGUUGACGUAUUCUGAAAGGGAUACUUCUUCGGACAAUAUACAAGGUGCUGCAUGGUUGUCGUCAGCUCGUGCCGUGAGGUGUCGGGUUAAGUCCCAUAACGAGCGCAACCCCUAUCAUUAGUUGCCAUCAGGUCAAGCUGGGGACUCUAAUGAAACUGCCUACGCAAGUAGUGAGGAAGGUGGGGAUGACGUCAAAUCAGCACGGCCCUUACGUCCAGGGCUACACACGUGCUACAAUGGCCGGUACAAAGGGCAGCUACCUGGUGACAGGAUGCUAAUCUCAAAAGCCGGUCUCAGUUCGGAUCGGAGUCUGCAACCCGACUCCGUGAAGCUGGAAUCGCUAGUAAUCGUGGAUCAGCCAAGCCGCGGUGAAUACGUUCCCGGGCCUU